GACGAACGCUGGCGGCGUGCUUAACACAUGCAAGUCGAACGGAAAGGCCCUGCUUGCAGGGUACUCGAGUGGCGAACGGGUGAGUAACACGUGGGUGAUCUGCCCUGCACUUCGGGUUAAGCCUGGGAAACUGGGUCUAAUACCGGAUAGGAGCCAUUUUUAGUGUGAUGGUUGGAAAGUUUUUUCGGUUUAGGCUGAGCUUGCAGCGUAACUGCUUGCUGGGGGGGUAAUGGCCUACCAAGCCGGCGGCGGGUAGCCGGCCUGUGGAGCUGGACGGCCAUCUUGGGACUGAGGGGAGGCCGCGGCACCGACGCGAGGCAGAAGUGCGGAAGAUUGACCGAUGGGCGCAAGCCGGAUGCUGAGACGCCGCGUGGGGGAUGACGGCGUUCGGGUUGUAGACUACUUUCGCAAGGGACGAAGCUUUUUGUGACGGUACCUAGAUAGAAAGCAACGGCUAACUACGUG
rnacentral:rRNA from 1 species